rnacentral:rRNA from 1 species
AGAGUUUGAUCAUGGCUCAGAUUGAACGCUGGCGGCAUGCCUUACACAUGCAAGUCGAACGGCAGCACGGGGGCAACCCUGGUGGCGAGUGGCGAACGGGUGAGUAAUGCAUCGGAACGUGCCCAGUCGUGGGGGAUAACGUAGCGAAAGCUACGCUAAUACCGCAUACGAUCUGCGGAUGAAAGCGGGGGACCUUCGGGCCUCGCGCGAUUGGAGCGGCCGAUGUCAGAUUAGGUAGUUGGUGGGGUAAAGGCCUACCAAGCCGACGAUCUGUAGCUGGUCUGAGAGGACGACCAGCCACACUGGGACUGAGACACGGCCCAGACUCCUACGGGAGGCAGCAGUGGGGAAUUUUGGACAAUGGGCGCAAGCCUGAUCCAGCAAUGCCGCGUGCAGGAUGAAGGCCUUCGGGUUGUAAACUGCUUUUGUACGGAACGAAAGGGCUCUGGCUAAUACCUGGAGCUGAUGACGGUACCGUAAGAAUAAGCACCGGCUAACUACGUGCCAGCAGCCGCGGUAAUUC